rnacentral:rRNA from 1 species
UGAGGAAUAUUGCACAAUGGGCGAAAGCCUGAUGCAGCAACGCCGCGUGAGUGAUGAAGGCCUUUGGGUCGUAAAACUCUGUCCUUGGGGAAGAAAAAAAUGACGGUACCCUUGGAGGAAGCCCCGGCUAACUACGUGCCAGCAGCCGCGGUAAUACGUAGGGGGCAAGCGUUAUCCGGAAUUAUUGGGCGUAAAGAGUGCGUAGGUGGUUUUGUAAGCGUAGGGUGAAAGGCAGUAGCUCAACUAUUGUUAGCCCUGCGAACUGUGAGACUUGAGUGCAGGAGAGGAAAGUGGAAUUCCUAGUGUAGCGGUGAAAUGCGUAGAUAUUAGGAGGAACACCAGUGGCGAAGGCGACUUUCUGGACUGUAACUGACACUGAGGCACGAAAGCGUGGGUAGCAAACAGG